rnacentral:rRNA from 1 species
AUUGAACGCUGGCGGCAUGCUUUACACAUGCAAGUCGAGCGGCAGCGCGGGGGCAACCCUGGCGGCGAGCGGCGGACGGGUGAGUAAUGCAUCGGAACGUAUCCCGUAGUGGGGGACAACCCAGCGAAAGCUGGGCUAAUACCGCAUAUGCUCUACGGAGGAAAGCAGGGGACUCGCAAGAGCCUUGUGCUAUGGGAGCGGCCGAUGUCCGAUUAGCUAGUUGGUGGGGUAAAGGCUUACCAAGGCGACGAUCGGUAGCUGGUCUGAGAGGAUGAUCAGCCACACUGGGACUGAGACACGGCCCAGACUCCUACGGGAGGCAGCAGUGGGGAAUUUUGGACAAUGGGGGCAACCCUGAUCCAGCCAUGCCGCGUGCGGGAAGAAGGCCUCGGUUGUAACCG